UACAGAGGGUGCAAGCGUUAAUCGGAAUUACUGGGCGUAAAGCGUGCGUAGACGGUUACUUAAGUCGGGUGUGAAAGCCCCGGGCUCAACCUGGGAAUUGCAUUCGAGACUGCGUAGCUAGGGUGCGGAAGAGGGAAGCGGAAUUUCCGGUGUAGCGGUGAAAUGCGUAGAUAUCGGAAGGAACACCAGUGGCGAAGGCGGCUUUCUGGUCUGUAACUGACGCUGAGGCGCGAAAGCGUGGGGAGCAAACAGG
rnacentral:rRNA from 1 species